rnacentral:tRNA from 1 species
GCGGGUAUGGUGAAACUGGCAGACACGCGAGUCUUAGAAGCUCGUGCCGCGAGGCGUGAAGGUUCAAGUCCUUUUACCCGCA